AAACUCUAAAUAAUUGGGCUACUUAAAAUA
rnacentral:piRNA from 1 species